AUAAAAAAAAAAGAAUGGUGAGUUGAUGUUAAGCAGCUGAUAUGAACUUUGUUCUUCAAAACUCAUUACUUCUUUAAUUUUGAAUCCUAGAACUUUUUCCGUGAAAAAGUAGAAUAACUCUACGUGGGGAGAAGAGAGAGUACAUCUGCCAUCACAGCUCUUUUUGGUGCCAAGUCCCUGCAGUGGGAAGACAGCAACCUGCUGUAGCUAUUAAUAUUGCAGAAGAAAAAUGUACAGUAGAAGGAAAUUGCCAUCAAAUGCCCUAAAGUCAGAACAAAGAAGUAAAGAAUUCUUUAGUAAAGAAUAGUGAUGUACCCAUUCUUUGCUGAGGUCCUGAUUAAGUUUAGUGUAGAUUUGGAUUAUUUUCACUAGGUUUUCAUACCAAGGACAUUUGGGGGGGGGGAGGCAAAAAUAUAAGUCUCUAAAUCAUUUAAGAGCUUAAGAGAAAUUCUCUUGAUUUUUUUUAUUUAAAAGAAUUUUUUUAAUGUUUAUUUAUUUUCAAGAGAGAGAGAGACAGAGACAGAGAGCAAGCAAGGGAGGGGAAGAGAGAGAGGGAGGCACAGAAUCCGAAGCAGGCUCCAGGCUCUGAGCUGUCAGCAUAGAGCCCGAUGUGGGGCUCCAACUCACAAACCAACCCGAGAUCAUGACCUGAGCCGAAGUCGGGUGCUUAAGCGACUGAGCCACCCAGGCGCCCCGAGAAAUCCUCUUUAUUUAUCAAAAUCUUUUUAGCCAAAUCUAACAGCAAUAGAGCACUUCAUAAAAUCAAGUAUUGCUACAAAAUGAUGGCAGGAUAAAGGACAAGAUCUUCUUUUAUAUGAAAGCUGUCCCCAUGGGAAAAGAUGGGCAAUAUAAAUUUAGGCCAAUACUUUUGGGAAUGCAUAGUGCUUCAAAAUUCAUAACAAGAUUGGAGAUUGAAAAAAAAAUGUAAUGGAUUAAUGAUCAAGUAAACCUGUUAAAGUAGAAAAGUGCAGAUAUAGGCGAAGAAAGAGAUUCUUUUCUGUCAUAUUUGGUUUGUGUUUUGUAAGUAGGAGUCACUGUCACUAUCUCUGUUGUUAAACAACAGCAACAGCACUAACAGGGAUAAUCUUGAUUGACCAAAAGAUUUGUAAACAAUUAAGUUAAGGGCUUGUUCUUCACAAUGCAGAAAGAUUUGCCACUUUCCAUAACGUGCUGCUUUCUAGAAUGUGUCCAAUUAGGGCAUAAAAGUUGUUUUCUAGAUUCCUAAUUACUUCAGAGAUGAGUUUUGGUUUUGAGAUGAGUGUUGACAAGACAGAAACCAGACUACAGACUUUUGGAAGUUGGGACCAAUAAUAAGAAAUUAGCAAUCAAAUGUAAACCUUUCGGGAAUCAAAUAAAAAGUUUGGUGAAAAUAGGUUUCAAAACAGCACACAAGGAGAAAGUCUUCUGCAUAAUGUCCAGUCCCACCAAAACCUAAAGACAGCACUUAAUUCAGAUAUUUUGGGGGGAAAAAAUAGGGUAACUUCCAGUUCUGGAGAGCUGACAGAUCACAAGCUUUCACCUCUCUUUGAAAUCAAUAUCCCACUGAUGUGACUGAAGUAAAACACAACAGAGGCUCAAUUAAAGCUGAGUUAGAGAGGGCUUACCAGCAAACCAAAACAAAGAAAGAUUUCUCAAAGAGAUUUCUCAAACGGAUGCAAUCAAGCUGAUGACAAGUCCCCACAAAGAGAACCCAAAAUACAGGCAUUAAGAUUGGACUAAGACAAAGAACACCUGCACGGAGAACCUGAGGGCAAGUCCUGCAGUCAAGUUUGAGAGAGAGGAAGACUCUAAAAUCAGAAUGCCUGAAUUCAUCGGAUCCAGGCUCCAAUACCCUGCCUGCCUCAGUGUUCUCAAAAGAAGAAUGCAAAUGAGAAUAGUAUUUACCUGGAGACCUACUAUGAGGGUUACAUGAGAUCACGGAGAUAAAGCGUUUCAUCGAAUGUCUGUCUUACAGGAAGUGCUGAAGCAUUCAGAAUGUAACAAAAAUGAAAAUACCAAAUUUCAAAACCUAAGGGAGGCAGUUAAAAAUAAACAGAAAAAUCUCAUAGUGUUUUUCUUUAAAUAAUAUAUUUUAUUUAUCCCAGCGGUUCUCAGCCAGGGGAGAGUUUUAAAUGCCUUUAUUGUUAAGGACUGGAAUGCAUAAACUAACUGCAGCAGAGUCUGUGGGUUCCCUGCCCGGAUCCUCAGGGACCCUCUAUCAGCUGUGGCAUGUGCUCCUGCUAAUGACCUACCCCUGCACGGGUCUGCAGUGGGCUCCCCUUAGAUGAUUUCCCCACCCACGGGUGCCUGAAGUUAACCAAUCAACAGCCAAUUCCAUUGAAUUGGUGUGCUUCUAUUAUACUCAAAAAGACUUCAAAAACCACAAGAAAGGAAAACAAGAAAAUAUACACAUAUUUGCUUAUUUGUGAAAGAAUAAACCAGAAACUAAUGUGA